rnacentral:rRNA from 1 species
UACGUAGGGUGCAAGCGUUAAUCGGAAUUACUGGGCGUAAAGCGUGCGCAGGCGGUCCGCUAAGACCGAUGUGAAAUCCCCGGGCUUAACCUGGGAACUGCAUUGGUGACUGGCGGGCUGGAGUAUGGCAGAGGGGGGGUAGAAUUCCACGUGUAGCAGUGAAAUGCGUAGAGAUGUGGAGGAAUACCGAUGGCGAAGGCAGCAUCCUGGACCGGCAUUGACGCUGAGGAGCGAAAGCUAGGGGAGCAAACGGG